rnacentral:rRNA from 1 species
CCUACGGGAGGCAGCAGUGGGGAAUAUUGGACAAUGGGCGAAAGCCUGAUCCAGCCAUGCCGCGUGUGUGAAGAAGGCCUUCGGGUUGUAAAGCACUUUCAGUGGGGAAGAAAGCCUUGGGGCUAAUACCCUCGAGGAAGGACAUCACCCACAGAAGAAGCACCGGCUAACUCCGUGCCAGCAGCCGCGGUAAUACGGAGGGUGCGAGCGUUAAUCGGAAUUACUGGGCGUAAAGCGCGCGUAGGCGGUCUGAUAAGCCGGUUGUGAAAGCCCCGGGCUCAACCUGGGAACGGCAUCCGGAACUGUCAGGCUAGAGUGCAGGAGAGGAAGGUAGAAUUCCCGGUGUAGCGGUGAAAUGCGUAGAGAGCGGGAGGAAUACCAGUGGCGAAGGCGGUCUUCUGGACUGACACUGACGCUGAGGUGCGAAAGCGUGGGUAGCAAACAGGAUUAGAGACCCCAGUAGUC